AUGCUAGGCCCCGCCCCAUCCCUGCUCCGUGGCUGGUUUUCUCCGUGGGCGCCUCAGACGGGACCUGGAGAUGUGGGCAGCGCCUGGGGGAGCCCUGGCUGGGUGCAGUUCAUGCUCUGCCUAGCUGACUUAGUGCUCUCGCUCUAUGUGCUGCACGUGAAGGCGGCGCGCCCAUGGAACCCGUAUUACCAUGCGCUCUGCGACGUGGGCACUGCCAUCAGCUGUUUGCGCAUUUUCUCCAGGUGGGGCAUGGGCUUUGGGCUGGUGGGGCACGUGCUAGGAAAGGACAGCAUCCUCAAUCAAUCCAACAGCAUAUUCGGUUGCAUCUUCCACAAGCUACAGCUGUUGUUAGGUUGGUUGCCUAAGGACACUCUGGGCCUCCGUCCUGCUGCUGCUGAGAUCCCCGGUGUCUCUCGCUGAUUCAACCUACCUGGCCUGGAUGCUGUUCUUCGUGCUCUAUGAUUUCUGCAUCAUUUGUAUCACCACCUAUGCCAUCAACGUGGGCCUGAUGUGGCUCAGUUUCUGGAAGGUCCAAGAACCCCAGGGCAAGGCUGAGGCACUAAGCUCUCACCCCAAGCCUGGCUGGCCUUGUCUGCUUUGCUUUGGCAUGUGAGCCUUGCCCAAGGAGGCCUAUCUGGGUCCCUAGAAGGUCCUAGAUGCAGGGCCUUCUAGAGUCCCCUCUCCCCUUGCCAUUCCCACACUCAACAAUGGACCAAAUGUGCCACACGCUCGCUCUUUUUUUCUACCCAGGUGCCUCUGACUCUGUCUCCAAGGGCUGGUCUCCGAAGCUCUUGCCAUUGCCCAGGGAGGGAAGGUUCUGAGCGAUAAAAUUUCUUAGAUUAA